rnacentral:rRNA from 1 species
GAUGAACGCUGGCGGCGUGCUUAACACAUGCAAGUCGAACGAAGCACCUUGAUUUGCUUCUUCGGAUGAAGAUCUUGGUGACUGAGUGGCGGACGGGUGAGUAACGCGUGGGUAACCUGCCUCAUACAGGGGGAUAACAGUUAGAAAUGACUGCUAAUACCGCAUAAGACCACAGCACCGCAUGGUGCAGGGGUAAAAACUCCGGUGGUAUGAGAUGGACCCGCGUCUGAUUAGGUAGUUGGUGGGGUAACGGCCUACCAAGCCGACGAUCAGUAGCCGACCUGAGAGGGUGACCGGCCACAUUGGGACUGAGACACGGCCCAAACUCCUACGGGAGGCAGCAGUGGGGAAUAUUGCACAAUGGGGGAAACCCUGAUGCAGCGACGCCGCGUGAGCGAUGAAGUAUUUCGGUAUGUAAAGCUCUAUCAGCAGGGAAGAAAAUGACGGUACCUGACUAAGAAGCACCGGCUAAAUACGUG